CUGGAAGGAUGGGGCUGGAGAGAUGGCUCAGACGUUAAGAGCACUGACUGCUUUUCCAGAGGACCCAGGUUCAAUUCCCAGCACCCACAUGGCAGCUCCCAACUGUCUGUAAAUCUGCAUCCAGGAGAUUUGGCACCCUCACACAGACAUACAUGCAGGUAAAACAUCCAUAUGUAUAAAAU